GUUGAAUAGCAGCCAGCUGCAGGCCUACACCACAGCCAUAGCAACAACACUGGAUCUGAGCUGCCCCUGUGACCCAUGCCACAGCUUGUGGCGAUGCUAGAUCCUUAACCCAUUGAGUGGGGCCAGGGAUCAAACCCGCAUCCUCAUGGAUACUAUGUCGGCUUCUUAACCCACUGAGCUGCAAUGGGAACUCCCAAAAUUUCAUUUUUUUAUGGCUGAGAAGUAUUGCACCCCCCCACACACACACCACACCACAUCUUCUUUAUCCAUCUGUUGAUGGAAACACUCUGAGGCUUUUUACUGAAAGUGUAGAAUGUGCCAGACAUUGUGCCACAUACUUUCCAUACAUGAUCUUAUUUAAUCCUUAAAACAGGGAUGUAGUGAGUGUGGGGUUGUCCACAUCUCCACAAACAAGGAAACCAGCUCUGAGAUGUCAAGUAACUUAGACAGAUGCCCAGGAGACAGUGCACAGUAAGGGUCAGAGAAGAGAUGAGCCUUCACGGCGAUGGGGAAGUGGGGAGAUGUUGGUCAAAGGGUACAAACUUGCAGUUAAAGGAAGAAUAAGUUGUGGAGGCAUAAUUCACAGCAGACAGGGUGGACUUUAGGGCAAACUGCUGAUGUGAUCAACUGUCCCUGACAGCCAAGCAGGCAUACCUGGGUUACACCUGCCACACUGUCACAUAGUAUUAUGGGGACUUAGGGCUGCAGCUGGGCACUCACAAUAUCCAGUGACAUUGAUUGAGGCUCUACCCUGAGUGCCUGGCAGAGUCCCCACCCCCACAAUACUCCAUGGUGUCCCCAAGUUUCCCACACACGUGCCUUUGCACAUCAGUUGUCACGCUGUCUCCAUCAGCCUGUUUUAUCAGAGUCACCACAGCUUCUCUUGCUGCAUCUUAUUGGUUCUGAGGUAAUAGAAGCUGCCAGGGCUUAGCCAGAGGAUGGUGACAGGGCACACUGGGCUGAGGUGGAGAAUUCUGGGCAGGAAUUGGAAACACGCUUUGCAUGAAUAGAGGUCAAAAGGCUGACCUUAAUUAUAGGUUCCUUAGAAAUGCUUGCCAUUUCUCAGAAGCCGUCAGAGCCUGGCAUUGUUUGCAUGGCUAAGUAAUUGUACUAUCAGCAAAAUCCUCAAGCUGUCUCUCUCUUUGCUUCUGGUUUCCAUGGCCAAGCCACAUCAUCAUGACACAGAUAAGACACGGACUGGGCAGCUUGACCUGGGCUCUUACUGACCCUGAGAAGUGCUGCUGAGAAACCCACUGGCUCUGGAGAUCAAGGUCUCCAGCCUCACCUCACAAAACAAAACGUCUGGCCUCAGGCCAGAGCAGAGUAGCUGAUUCCCCUUCAGAAGAGCCACAUAGGGAUCCACCAGCCACCAUCUGCCCACCUGCCCCCCUGUGGCUCAUUUGUGUCCCCCUGUGGGGCCCUGCCAGAGGGAGAAAGGCCAUGUGGGUUUGCAAAAGGGGCCAACAGAGCAAGGUUGUGCUUCAGUAACACUAACUCGGGGGCAGGAGUGGGAACAGAGGCAGAGCCCCUGACUGAAGUCUGUUGUGUAGGAUUCCAGCAAAAGUUGGUGAGGUCCUGAUCUAGGCAUGGCCUGAAUUUACAAGAAAGAGGUGGCUUCAUGCCAAAGGAAUAGGUGUCACCUAGUGGUGUGAUGUGAGGGGCCAGCAAGGUCUCCGUCCCAAAUUCAUUCUCAAGAAGCAUGAAGCCCAUGCCUGAACAGUAACAGUCCCUUAUCCCAGGUCACUUCACAUCCCUCGUCCCAUUGGAGCCUCCCCACAGCCCUGGGAGCUUGAUAUUGCUAUUGUCACCCAUGCUUCAGAUGGGGAGACUGAGGCUCAGAGAUGGUUCUACCUCACAGGGCAGCUGUGAGGAUGCAGUGAGUAUGUGUGCUCGUUGUUACCAUGUUUCCACCUACCAGCCUGAAGCCUAGAGAAUGGGAGGGGUAGGGGACACCAGCCUGGGUCUCGCACACCCCUCUCUGUAUGGUGUUUGCCAGCAGGAUGUGACACCAGUUGAGUCCUGAGCCAUCAGUACUGUCAUGGGUGGAGAGAGGACGGAUAAGAUGGGGACCACUUGGCUUUAGUCCUCCUCCUUGGGAACCAGGCCCUGAGUGUUUGUUUCUGGAUCCUUUCAGCCAGGAAAGGAUCAGGGGUUGUGAAAGUGGCAAGGUCAUCUCUUGGAAGGUCAUCUGAAUGCGUGAUGCGAGGUGAUGUAGUCAUGGGCGCUAAACCUGUAACUGUGUCCAGGUAGGUAUCGGCUUUGUGAUGUUGGGCAGCCUUCUGACAUCCCUGAGCUCACAGCCUGCACUCAGAUGUCUGGGAAUGCAGGCAGACAGCGUGAGUAACACCGACGUGGCUGAGACAGUUCUCACACCUCUGGCAGGCAGAAUGGUAGCCACUAAGAAUGUCCACAUGCUCAUCCUGGGACCUGUGGAGCCUAGGUCAACCCUAGAACAACCCUAGGCCAAUAACAUGGCAAAAGGCCUUCACAGAUGUGAUGAAGUGAAGCACUUGGCAGUGCGGAGACCAGCCUGGAUUAUUGAGGUAGACUCCGUCUCAUCACAUUGGUCCUUAAAAGUGGAGAACAUCUUCCAGCUGUGAUCAGAAAGUGGGAAUUCCCAUCGUGGCGCAGCGGAAACAAAUCUGACUAAGAACCAUGAGGUUGCAGGUUCAGUCCCUGGCCUUGCCUAGCAGGUUAAGGAUCCGGUGUUGCCGUGAGCUGUGGUAUAAGUCGAAGACGGGACUCAGAUCUGGCGUUGCUGUGGCUGUGGUGUAGGCUGGCAACCACAGCUCUGAUUUGACCCCUAAACUGGGAGCCUCUAUAUGCCACAGGUGCGUCCCCCCCCCCCAAAAAAAAAAAUAGGAGCUCCCCUCAUGGAUCAGUGAGUAACGAAUCUGACUAGGAACCAUGAGGUUCAGUCCCUGGCCUCUCUCAGUGGGUUAAGGAUCCAGUGUUGCCGUGAGCUGUGGUGUAGGUCGCAGACGUGGCUCAGAUCCCACGUUGCUGUGGCUCUGGUGUAGGCCAGUGGCUAGAGCUCCGAUUGGACCCCUAGCCUGGGAACCUCUAUAUGCCGUGGGAGCGGCCCUAGAAAAGGCAAAAAG
rnacentral:lncRNA from 1 species